GAACCUAUAAUUAUGGGAGAGGAAACGUAUUACUCUCAGUGGGUCACUGAGAGUGACGGUGAUUAAACCAACGAACCACUUGGGGGAUGGAAGAUUUGGAAUUAAAAUACAAGAAGUUUGACUAGAAUUGUAUAAACUCUACUCUCAGCCUAGGAAAAAACAAAGCUCAAGACCUUACACAGGAACCUGAGACAUCUAUAGUCUUCUGAACUUUCAUCAUUGACAGAGAGAACCUAAUUACUUGUGUUAUAUACUGAAAAUAUUUUGAUAUGUAUGUAACAUUUUUUUAGAUGACAAGUACUAACCCACUGAACAAAAUGUUGCAUAUAAUCACAAUCCUCUAGAAAUGCUAAAGUGCUGUGAUAAUGUUGACACUGAAGGCUGGAUUCUUCACAAAUACCAUCUUAACUUGUCACUUUUGAAGAGCUAUCUGGCCUAAUUCUGACCUGUCUUCAGUCAAUAUAUCUAUAAAAUAAUUAGCUCAUUUCCUCCAUAUAUAUAACUGCUGUACUUUCACUGUCAAACUUUUAAAAAUAUGACUUGUUUUUUAAUGAGCUCACCACGAGUGAAAACAAGUACAUAGUUCAUGUCAGAAUUUCAUGAAAAUACUCUUUUGGCUAUUUAUUUAAAACAAUAUGAUAAGACUUCAUCUCCAGCAUUAUCAACCCAGUAGUCUUAAGAAAGUAUUUAUAAUUAAGAGUAUCAUAUUCUAUACUGUUUCACUAAUCAUGAUGAUGGGAAUCCCAUUCAAAAGGAUCUCACCAGUGCCAAAGCUAAUCUUCUAACUUUGUGACUUUUGUUGGCCUCACAUAUUUUCCUCUAUACUUCCAUGUGAUAUUAAAUAGGCUCUUAAUUCAUUAACAUUUUA